AUUGAACGCUGGCGGCAGGCCUAACACAUGCAAGUCGAACGAGUGGCGGACGGGUGAGUAAUGUCUGGGAAACUGCCUGAUGGAGGGGGAUAACUACUGGAAACGGUAGCUAAUACCGCAUACCAUCGGAUGUGCCCAGAUGGGAUUAGAUAGUAGGUGGGGUAACGGCGCACCUAGGCGACGAUCCCUAGAUGGUCUGAGAGGAUGACCAGCCACACGGGAACGUAGACACGGGCCAGAAUCCUACGGUAGGCAGAAGUGGGGAAUAUUGCACAAUGGGCGCAAGCCUGAUGCAGCCAUGCCGCGUGUAUGCAGAAGGCCUUCGGGUUGUAAAGUACUUUCAGCGUGGAGGCGUUACCCGCAGAAGAAGCACCGGCUAACUCCGUGCCAGCAGCCGCGGUAAUUC
rnacentral:rRNA from 1 species